AGAAAGUAAAGCACAGAUCCAGGAAAGACAGAGAACAUCAAGCAGGAUAAAUACCAAAAUAAAACAAACUCCUACACCUAGGUAUAUUAUAUUCAAAUUGCAGAGAAACAAAGACAAAGAGAAAACAUAGAAAGAAGCCAGAGGGAAAAAACACCUUAUCUAUAGAGGAACAAAGACAAAAACUACAGUGGCCUUCUCAUCAGAAACCAUGCAAGCAAGAAGAGAGGGGUGUGAAAUAUUUAACAUGUUGAAAGAAAAAAAUCCACCAAGCUAGAAUUCUAUACACAGCAAAAUUACUUCAAAACUGGAGAAAUAAAGCCUUUAUCAAACCAACAAAAUCUGAGAUAAUUUAUCACCAGCAGACAUACUCUGCAAGAAAUUUUAAAAGAAGUUUUUCAGGUAGAAGGAAAAUUAAGUGGAUCAGAGACACGAUCUUCAAAAAGAAGGGGAGAAGGAGAAAGUGUGUCAGAGAAGAAACAAAUGAAGUUCCACAGCUAAAGCACUGAUGGAACCUUGCUGGGUCACUUGGUUCAGUUUCCUGCCGCUAGGCUGUACUUAAUUUCAACUAUCCUGGUCUAAAGUCUUCAGAAUAGGCAGUAAGAAGAAAACAAAAAAUGAAUAUAAAAUAGGGAAGCAAGCACAAACUGAACCUGUGAGGCAAGCUGGAACCAAUGAGGAUAACCAGGAAUCUGCCGGAACAUUCAACUUUGAUGAUGGGAGUGCCCUGCAGGAGAAACAGGCGC
rnacentral:lncRNA from 1 species